GACGAACGCUGGCGGCGUGCUUAACACAUGCAAGUCGAACGGAAAGGCCUCUUUCGGGGGGUACUCGAGUGGCGAACGGGUGAGUAACACGUGAGUAACCUGCCCUUGACUUUGGGAUAACUUCAGGAAACUGGGGCUAAUACCGGAUAGGAGCUCCUGCUGCAUGGUGGGGGUUGGAAAGUUCCGGCGGUUGGGGAUGGACUCGCGGCUUAUCAGCUUGUUGGUGGGGUAGUGGCUUACCAAGGCUUUGACGGGUAGCCGGCCUGAGAGGGUGACCGGCCACAUUGGGACUGAGAUACGGCCCAGACUCCUACGGGAGGCAGCAGUGGGGAAUAUUGCACAAUGGGUGGAAGCCUGAUGCAGCAACGCCGUGUGCGGGAUGACGGCCUUCGGGUUGUAAACCGCUUUCGCUCAUGACGAAGCUUUGUGUGACGGUAGUGGGUAAAGAAGCACCGGCUAACUACGU
rnacentral:rRNA from 1 species